rnacentral:lncRNA from 1 species
GAUGUGCAUAGUAACAAGUCCUCCUUGCAACUGAGAUGUGCGUUCGCGUUUGGUCUAAAGGGCUCACAGGGUUACCGUUGUGUGUGGGGUUGGAGGAAGAGAUUCCUCCUUGGGCAGCGCACAUCUCGGACAUCAAAAACUUGGGCUUCAGACUCAGACACACCAGGGCUCAAGACCCAGGCACCCCACGGAGCAUCUGGCUGUGCGCCCUUGGGCAAGUGCCUGCCCUUUUUCAGGCUGUCUGCUUCUCUGAAGAUAGAGAUUCGAAGAGUCCCCCUCCUGGGGAGAUGAACGCCCAGUGCAGUGACACUAAUACUUAGCGUGCCGAAACCAGUUGUCACACACGCUGACCACUCCCACAUAGCCCCAGCACAUCAGUUUUUACUUUAUGUACAUCUGUAUGCGCCUACAGCCUUAAUCACGUCUAAUACGAAGAGAAGGGAAAGUUUUUGUCUAAAUAACAUGAUCACCGCUACCAUCACUACCAGAA